GUACUCGCUUCGGCAGCACAUAUACUAAAAUUGGAAAGAUACAGAGAAGAUCAGCAGGGCCCCAAUGCAAGGAUGACACGCAAAUUCGUGAGGCGUUUAAUAUUUUU
ensembl:snRNA U6 U6 spliceosomal RNA